rnacentral:rRNA from 1 species
GAUGAACGCUGGCGGCGUGCCUAAUACAUGCAAGUCGAGCGAACGGACGAGAAGCUUGCUUCUCUGAUGUUAGCGGCGGACGGGUGAGUAACACGUUGAUAACCUACCUAUAAGACUGGGAUAACUUCGGGAAACCGGAGCUAAUACCGGAUGAUAUUUUGAACCGCAUGGUUCAAACGUGAAAGACGGUCUUGCUGUCACUUAUAGAUGGAUCCGCGCUGCAUUAGCUAGUUGGUAAGGUAAAGGCUUACCAAGGAAACGAUGCAUAGCCGACCGGAGAGGGUGAUCGGCCACACUGGAACUGAGACACGGUCCAGACGCCUACGGGAGGCAGCAGGAGGGAAUCUUCCGCAAUGGGCGAAAGCCUGACGGAGCAACGCCGCGUGAGUGAUGAAGGUCUUCGGAUCGUAAAACUCUGGUAUUAGGGAAGAACAUAUGUGUAAGUAACUGUGCACAUCUUGACGGUACCUAAUCAGAAAGCCACGGCUAACUACGUG